CGUUUCCUUGUUUCAGCCUCUGCUAUGGUUCGUGAGGCUCCGGGUCCUUCUUUGGUCAUGUUGUCGAUGGGCGAUCGUCUACGGAAGCUUCCUCAGUCUUUGUUGGGUCUACUUCUGAUGAGUAUUUUCUUCUCAAUUUGCUGUCUUUUUUUAUUGUAUAAUUUUGCUAUUUACGCUAUUUGUGUUCUUUUUCUUAGUUUUGGCCUCUAGCGAGGCCCGUCGGCGUGGUUGGAAAUUUAGCACACGCUAUUUGUGUUUUUGUGCUUAGUUUUGUCUUCUGGUGAGGCCCGACGAUGGUUGGAAAUUCGGCGUGAGAAUCAUCAUCUGUUUUGGAUUGCAACCUACGACCUGCAGUCACCGGCCCUGGGGCUACGAAGCAAGCCGUGCAUGCCCUAAUCUUCAUAAGUAUGUUAUCUCCCGUAGAUGCAAGGUUCGUCCCCAAUCAUAAAAUUUGGAGUCUCGCACUGAAGAACCAAGGAGGUGGAAGUAUGAACAAUGCCCUCAUCAAAGCAACUCAGUUUGGAUUUGAAUCUAAGGAUGACUAUUGAGAAAAACGUACCCAACCUCCUUCAUAUGAGGCACUUGGCAGGGAGACGAUGGGCUAUACUUCCACAUAGCCUGUGACCAUGAUGAGUAUAUGGUAUUUUGGCUAGCUUUCUUUGUUGUGUUAAAAAUUGAGUCGGGUAGGAUGUGAAGUCUUCACAGAAAUGGAAACAUUUUUGUACGACCACGGACUCUUGAAAGGAACAAAAACAGGUGCCCGAAAUGAUACUCCCUCCGUUCCUAAAUAUAUCUCUUUUUAGAGAUUUCAAUGCGGACUACAUAAGGAGCAAAACAAGGAGUAGAUCGGGAGUAACAUGCAUGCUCCAAGUUGUGAGCAGUUUUGUAUUUCAGAGAGAUGUUUAUCCUAAAGUGAAAGUUUUUCUUAUGAAUA